ACCUUCGUGGUGUAACGGUAGCACACUCGGCUUGUAUUCGAGACGUGCAGGUUCGACUCUUGGCGAGGGCA
rnacentral:tRNA from 1 species